CCUACGGGAGGCAGCAGUGAGGAAUAUUGGUCAAUGGACGAGAGUCUGAACCAGCCAAGUAGCGUGAAGGAUGACUGCCCUAUGGGUUGUAAACUUCUUUUAUAAAGGAAUAAAACGAGGCACGUGUGCCUUUUUGCAUGUACUUUAUGAAUAAGGAUCGGCUAACUCCGUGCCAGCAGCCGCGGUAAUACGGAGGAUCCGAGCUUUAUCCGUAUUUAUUGGGUUUAAAGGGAGCGUAGAUGGGUUGUUAAGUCAGUUGUGAAAGUUUGCGGCUCAACCGUAAAAUUGCAAUUGAUACUGGCAGUCGUGAGUACAGUUGAGGUAGGCGGAAUGCGUGGUGUAGCGGUGAAAUGCUUAGAUAUCACGAAGAACCCCGAUUGCGAAGGCAGCUUACUAAACUGUGACUGACAUUGAUGCUCGAAAGUGUGGGUAUCAAACAGGAUUAGAUACCCUAGUAGUC
rnacentral:rRNA from 1 species